CCUACGGGCGGCAGCAGUGGGGGAUAUUGCACAAUGGGGGAAACCCUGAUGCAGCGACGCCGCGUGUGGGAAGACGGUCCUCUGGAUUGUAAACCACUGUCCCCAGGGACGAAGAUGACGGUACCUGGGGAGGAAGCUCCGGCUAACUACGUGCCAGCAGCCGCGGUAAUACGUAGGGAGCAAGCGUUGUCCGGAAUUCCUGGGUGUAAAGGGAGCGUAGGCGGGAUGGCAAGUUGGGUGUUAAAUCUACCGGCUCAACUGGUAGUCGCACUCAAAACUGCUAUUCUUGAGUGAAGGAGAGGCAGGCGGAAUUCCGAGUGUAGCGGUGAAAUGCGUAGAUAUUGGGAGGAACACCAGUGGCGAAGGCGGCCUGCUGGGCUUUUACUGACGCUGAGGCUCGAAAGUGUGGGGAGCAAACAGGAUUAGAUACCCGGGUAGUC
rnacentral:rRNA from 1 species